rnacentral:lncRNA from 1 species
AUAGUUUAGCUAUAGUGACCUAGUUCUUUUUCCAAAAUGACGUUAAUACAAAUUAUAAACAGAGAGAUAUUCUGACCAAGUCUUAUGAGAAUCAAAUAGCAAAUGUGUCCUUUCGAGCGUUUACGAUAUUUUCUAUGAUUUGCCAUAGAUAAUCAAGAUUGAAACGAUAUAGGUUUUAAAGAGACAAAAAAUCAGACAUGAUUUAUCAAAAUUAGACUGAAAAUGUAGCUUCAUUUUUGUUAUGAAAUAACCUAGUGCUAGUCUGUCUAUUGUUCUACUUUGUUGGUAAAUUGCAAUUAUAACAUCUUCUCAAAGUUUUCACCUUUUUACAAUUACGGAAUAUUUAUUGCAGCAUACCUAGCUAACAAGAAGUUUAUAUCUAUAACUUAUAACUAUGAGAACUAAUUUCUAAUGCCAUGUCAUAGACAUAGUACUAGAGCCGAUUUACGCAAUCGAAUACCGCCGGAAGUAGAACAUUUAUGUCAACACCGGUUCCGAAUGUUCACAUGAAAACGGCCGAAAACUGAGAGGUUAUCAACAAAUUAUAAGUUUACGGGUACCAUGAGGAUUUUUCAUGCAUUUAAACGACAGAAGUACAAGCGAACAGAUGACACAUUAAAGUGGCUGCAGAAGCUUUAAAAGUUAGAUAGAGCUGGGGCAGUCAAAACAGUUGGAUAAUACUUCUAUGGUGUCCAACAUGUCCAGUCAGGUUGACAGAAGUGGAAUACAAUGAUGUGCAGAUGAUACUCUGUAACAAGUUUAACAUGUCAAAGUGUAAAAUGUUCUGUGGAUUCAUAUGAUGAUAAUGCCAGUGUUGAUGUGUAUGACUUAUUUAAACACAGAUAUUGAUACCUUCAGAUAUGUACCUGUGAAAUCUUCAGUGUCACCAUUCAGCUAUGGUUCAAGAUCAGUGUCUGCAGCUUGCACAGUUUAGUAUAGAGGAGCCUACUGAAUCAGUUUUGUUACAUAUUUACUGUUAUUGUAGGACACACAUGUAGAGAGCAGCAAGUCCUGUCCAGCUGUGUAUGUAAAUGUGAUUCAGAAACUCUGAGAAUAUGUAAACAUUACACUGAUAUAAUUUUCAAAAUACUGUGUCGUGUAGUGUAUCAGUACUGUUUUGUCUCAGUUUAGCUCAGUAUGUUCACAAAUCAAACUUAAGAUCAUAAUGAUCAGUAUUAUUAAAAUCAUUAAUUAUUUGUAUGGUGACAAAAUUUAAUUUCAUGAAAUACCACAGUAAAACGUUUGAUAAUUUCCGCUUUUAAAGUUGUGAGUAUAAACUGUUUUUCUCCUUCAUCAAUCUAAAAAGUGAUUGGUCAUUGUAAUUGCAAUAUCAUUUUAGUAUGACAAAGUUUAUAUUGAACUAAAACACUAAUGUAAAUUUUUGAACUGGUCAAUGCAUUUUCUUCAGUCUUAAAACAUUUGUUUAUCGCACGUGUCAUGGCCCAUAACUCCUCCAUAUUACUUGUGUUUUGACCCUUUUAGUUUCACUGAAGAAUAGGUAGAGGUAUUGCACAUCCAUUUUUUAGCAUCCUGAUUUUGUAAAGUGCUGUAUGUAAGGUUUUAUCUCAGAAUUAUGUCUCAUCUAAAGGUGGGCAGAGGUAUUGUUUAUGUGUUUAUGCUUUAAGAGGACAAGCUGCUGGCCAGAUUUUGAUGAAACUUCACAGGACUGAUCAGUACCAAGCAUAGUGUUGUGCAUAGCGCUUGCAUGUUUCGUUUCGCUGCACUAAAUUGCAGCUAGAGCUAAAAAUAGAAAAAUCUUGUCGGCUUUCAUAGGUCAGAACUACAUAACAGAUAUUGAUGAAACUUCACAGGAGUGAUCAGUACCAAGUAUAUUUUUGCAUUUCACUGGCACUUUCCAUUUUGCUGCACACAAUAGCGGCCAAAACUAAAGGUAUACAUAGGUGGGAGACAUGUUUUGUCAUAAAAAUACUGAAAACACCCUCCACUUUGUUAAUGAAAAAUGAAUCAAACUUCUUACAAUUGCAAACUGUAAUAAUUUGACAUUAAAUACACUAGUUCCAUAACUGCAUUUGUUUUUUUACAUAAUUAUUGCCCUUUUCUUACCAUAGCAAUAUUUUGUGUAACAUGUUACCUCAUUAAGCAUCAUAAGAUCAGAAAAUUCGAUGACUCAGAAAUGUUGGCCCUUUAGUACUUGUCAUGUGUAUGCUAUCAGUAUUUUAUAUUGUCAUUACUUUUUAUUGUGCCAGUUUACGGAAAUGAAGACUUAGCUGUCCAAAUGGUGUGCCUGUGCCUGUCCUGAUUAGUUUGUCUGGACAAUAUAUUAUUGAUUAGUCUUCACGAAAGUUUGCAGGUUAAUUUCCCUAAGUUCCCUGUCAACUUUGAUAGUGGCAUGGUUACUUUAGAAACUCUAAAAUGAUGUCACCACUGCGCUAGUCAGACGUUUUGUAUUUCAGAUUUUAUAUCACAUUACAGGCUACUGGUCUUUAGCACCCUUCCUUAAACUUUCAUAAAAUUUUCCAAAAAUGUAUUUUAAUUUGAACUGGCAUUAUUCAGACAUUAAGAAGUAGUACUAUAAGGCAACAUUUGACCUCUUUUCCAGUACUUUUUUAUUUUCUCUGUU